UAAAAUGUCAAAAUUAGUAGGGAGCAGAUCUCUAAAUGAGAACAAAUCAGCCGGUAGAAGCACCAUAAGUUCCGACCAAAAUUAGGAGACCCAUAUCACUAAUUGGGACGCAAGAAAACAAACCAAAAAUCCGAUCCAAAAAAUCAAAUUACAACAAUAAGAUAAUAAACAACAAAGAAGAAGGGGGUAACAACAGAUCUGUCAAAA
rnacentral:lncRNA from 1 species